UAGAAUUAAUUAUAUUUUUCAAACUAUCUAUAUGGGACAAUCAAUUGAUCAAUAUACAUAAUUAUUUCAUCUAUAUAAAAAUUAUAAUAUAUAAAUAUCAUAGAAGAUGUACAUUAAUCAAAAGAUGGAUCUAUGGUUCUAUGAAAUGCAAUAUUUUUGAACUUUUUAACUUAGGGUGUUCGAAAGUAUCAAGCAACAUUAUAAACGGAG
rnacentral:lncRNA from 1 species